rnacentral:rRNA from 1 species
GAACGGGUGAGUAACACGUGGGUGAUCUGCCCUGCACUUUGGGAUAAGCCUGGGAAACUGGGUCUAAUACCGAAUAUGACCGCGCACUUCCUGGUGUGUGGUGGAAAGCUUUUGCGGUGUGGGAUGGGCCCGCGGCCUAUCAGCUUGUUGGUGGGGUAAUGGCCUACCAAGGCGACGACGGGUAGCCGGCCUGAGAGGGUGACCGGCCACACUGGGACUGAGAUACGGCCCAGACUCCUACGGGAGGCAGCAGUGGGGAAUAUUGCACAAUGGGCGCAAGCCUGAUGCAGCGACGCCGCGUGAGGGAUGACGGCCUUCGGGUUGUAAACCUCUUUCAAUAGGGACGAAGCGCAAGUGACGGUACCUAUAGAAGAAGGACCGGCCAACUACGUGCCAGCAGCCGCGGUAAUACGUAGGGUCCGAGCGUUGUCCGGAAUUACUGGGCGUAAAGAGCUCGUAGGUGGUUUGUCGCGUUGUUCGUGAAAACUCACAGCUUAACUGUGGGCGUGCGGGCGAUACGGGCAGACUAGAGUACUGCAGGGGAGACUGGAAUUCCUGGUGUAGCGGUGGAAUGCGCAGAUAUCAGGAGGAACACCGGUGGCGAAGGCGGGUCUCUGGGCAGUAACUGACGCUGAGGAGCGAAAGCGUGGGGAGCGAACAGGAUUAGAUACCCUGGUAGUCCACGCCGUAAACGGUGGGUACUAGGUGUGGGUUUCCUUCCUUGGGAUCCGUGCCGUAGCUAACGCAUUAAGUACCCCGCCUGGGGAGUACGGCCGCAAGGCUAAAACUCAAAGAAAUUGACGGGGGCCCGCACAAGCGGCGGAGCAUGUGGAUUAAUUCGAUGCAACGCGAAGAACCUUACCUGGGUUUGACAUGCACAGGACGCCGGCAGAGAUGUCGGUUCCCUUGUGG